AGAGUUUUCUAGCAGUGUUCUUUAGAAAUAGUGAUCUUACUGGGAUGGAUAAUUGCCAUUUUUGUUUCUCAGUUCUAUCCUUUCCUUCUUUUGGUAAUCAUGGGCCAGUUUUACUUUGCAGAUGUCUUCAGGAAUCUCCUUGCUGGGUGGGCAUUUGAGUUUGUAUCCCUCAUGGGGGUUUACAGUAGCUAAUGUUUUUAAGCACUUAUUUUCCAGGCACUACUUCUGAGUUUUUUCAUUAGUCAACUCAUAUAAUACUUGCACCAUUUUUAUGAGAUAGAAACAAUUUUUAUUCCACUUUUACAGAGGAGGAACCUGAGACAGAACAUGUCCAAAGUUACACAUGCGGUACACAAUAGAGCGGGAAUCUGAACCAGGUAGUCUGCUUCUGACUCUGCAUUAUCUCAGUUAUGGUGGCACAGAACUUAAACUGACAGGAUUCAGAAAGACCUUCAAGGCCUCAGUGUCUCAAGGUCACUGUUAAAACAUCUGCGAGCAGUGAAAACAGCUUCACUUUUAAAGGCUCAUGUUUCCAGGAACACAGCCCAGUCUCUUGGUGUGGAUGGAGGUGCUUCUCCUCUGGGUAGACACUUCGAAAGAGGUAUCCAUUCUUGGGGCUGGGUCAUGAAGCACCAUCAUUGUGGCAUGCUGUAUUCCAAUGUGGUUUGCUGGAUGUUGGGCUGCAAGAUGGUCACUGGAAAAGGGAAAGGUCAAAUAAGUUUGGAAAAUAUUGUAUGUCCCAGAAUACCUCCCUCCUUAAACUACCCUAAUGUCCUAUGUACCAUAACAUAUCAAAGGCUCUGAGAAAUCCUGCACCAAGCAAGCAUGUUUAACCUUGUCCAACCCCAGGGCUACCCAUGAUAAUUGGCCACAGACCUCUUCACUUGGACUUCAUCCCUAUUAGCAUUGGGCAGAAGUAGUGUUAGGUAGAGCUCAGAUGAGGCACAUUUCCUGCUGGGGGAUGCACCUGAGAUCAGGGCCUUACUUGAAGACCUCAUCUCUGUCACUACUUACUGUGUAACCUUGGCAAGUUCCUUCCUGUCUCUGGGCCUCAGGCUUCUCUUGUGCAUGAAGAGGUUCCGCUCUUGGAUUCUAUGCCUCUGUUGGGACUGCAGACAAGUCAACUCAGUUAAAAGCCAGAGGACAUAAAGGGACAGGGAAAUAGGGGAAGAGAAUGAUUGAAGGAAAGAAGACAUAGAAAAGAAAGGGACCUGGCUUCACAGAAAAAACAUGCUGAAGAAGACUGUUUUCUUUGCAACCGGUUAGGGUUAGCAGUAAAGAAUCUAA
rnacentral:lncRNA from 1 species